rnacentral:rRNA from 1 species
GGAUGAACGCUGGCGGCGUGCCUAAUACAUGCAAGUCGAGCGAACGGACGAGAAGCUUGCUUCUCUGAUGUUAGCGGCGGACGGGUGAGUAACACGUGGAUAACCUACCUAUAAGACUGGGAUAACUUCGGGAAACCGUAGCUAAUACCGGAUAAUAUUUUGAACCGCAUGGUUCAAAAGUGAAAGACGGUCUUGCUGUCACUUAUAGAUGGAUCCGCGCUGCAUUAGCUAGUUGGUAAGGUAACGGCUUACCAAGGCAACGAUGCAUAGCCGACCUGAGGGGGUGAUCGGCCACACUGGAACUGAGACACGGUCCAGACUCCUACGGGAGGCAGCAGUAGGGAAUCUUCCGCAAUGGGCGAAAGCCUGACGGAGCAACGCCGCGUGAGUGAUGAAGGUCUUCGGAUCGUAAAACUCUGUUAUUAGGGAAGAACAUAUGUGUAAGUAACUGUGCACAUCUUGACGGUACCUAAUCAGAAAGCCACGGCUAACUACGUG